UACGGAGGGGGGCUAGCGUUGUUCGGAAUACUGGGCGUAAAGCGCGCGUAGGCGGCCCCGAUCAGUCCGCUGUAAAAGUCCAGGGCUCAACCCUGGAAAGCCGGUGGAUACUGUCGGGCUAGAGUCCGGAAGAGGCGAGUGGAACUCCUGGUGUAGCGGUGAAAUGCGCAGAUAUCAGGAGGAACACCUAUUGCGAAGGCAGCUCGCUGGGACGUAACUGACGCUGAGACGCGAAAGCGUGGGGGAGCAAACAGG
rnacentral:rRNA from 1 species